rnacentral:rRNA from 1 species
UUUAAAGUCUGAUCUGCCCUAUGAGGAGUUAAAUGGCCGCGGUAUUUUGACCGUGCAAAGGUAGCAUAAUAAUUAGUUUUUUAAUUGGAAGCUGGAAUGAACGAUUGGACGAGAAAAUAACUGUCUCAGUUUAAUUUUUUUAGAAUUUUAUUUUUAAGUAAAAAAGCUUAAAUUUAUUUAAAAGACGAGAAGACCCCAUAGAGUUUUAUAUUUGUAUAAUUAUUGAUUUUAUAGUAUUAUUAUUUUAGUAUUUAUAUAUAUAUUUUAUUGGGGUGAUAGAAAAAUUAAAAUAACUUUUUAUUAAUUUUUACAUUAAUUUAUGAUUAAUUGAUCCAUUAUUUAUGAUUAUAAGAUUAAAUUACCUUGGGGAUAACAGCGUAAUUUUUUUUUAGAGUUCUUAUCGAAAAAAAAGAUUGCGACCUCGAUGUUGGAUUAAAAUAAACUUUUGGUGUAGGGGCUAAAUAGUUAGGUCUGUUCGACCUUUAAAAUUUUACA